rnacentral:rRNA from 1 species
UACGUAGGGGGCAAGCGUUGUCCGGAAUCAUUGGGCGUAAAGAGCGUGUAGGCGGUUCGGUAAGUCCGCUGUGAAGGUCCAGGGCUCAACCCUGGAAAGCCGGUGGAAACUGUCGAGCUAGAGUCCGGAAGAGGCGAGUGGAAUUCCUGGUGUAGCGGUGAAAUGCGCAGAUAUCAGGAGGAACACCAAUGGCGAAGGCAGCUCGCUGGGACGGUACUGACGCUGAGACGCGAAAGCGUGGGGAGCAAACAGG